CCUACGGGUGGCAGCAGUGGGGAAUAUUGCACAAUGGGCGCAAGCCUGAUGCAGCCAUGCCGCGUGUGUGAAGAAGGCCUUCGGGUUGUAAAGCACUUUCAGCGGGGAGGAAGGCGUUAAGGUUAAUAACCUUGGCGAUUGACGUUACCCGCAGAAGAAGCACCGGCUAACUCCGUGCCGGCAGCCGCGGUAAUACGGAGGGUGCAAGCGUUAAUCGGAAUUACUGGGCGUAAAGCGCACGCAGGCGGUCUGUCAAGUCGGAUGUGAAAUCCCCGGGCUCAACCUGGGAACUGCAUUCGAAACUGGCAGGCUAGAGUCUUGUAGAGGGGGGUAGAAUUCCAGGUGUAGCGGUGAAAUGCGUAGAGAUCUGGAGGAAUACCGGUGGCGAAGGCGGCCCCCUGGACAAAGACUGACGCUCAGGUGCGAAAGCGUGGGGAGCAAACAGGAUUAGAUACCCCUGUAGUC
rnacentral:rRNA from 1 species